rnacentral:rRNA from 1 species
UACGUAGGGUGCGAGCGUUGUCCGGAAUUAUUGGGCGUAAAGAGCUCGUAGGCGGUGUGUCGCGUCGGCCGUGAAAACCUGGGGCUCAACUCUGGGCGUGCGGUCGAUACGGGCAUCACUGGAGUUCGGCAGGGGAGACUGGAAUUCCCGGUGUAGUGGUGAAAUGCGUAGAUAUCGGGAGGAACACCAGUGGCGAAGGCGACUACCUGGCCUGUUCUUGACGCUGAGGCGCGAAAGCUAGGGGAGCAAACGGG